GUUGUCGUCAGCUCGUGUCGUGAGAUGUUGGGUUAAGUCCCGCAACGAGCGCAACCCUUAAGCUUAGUUGCCAUCAUUAAGUUGGGCACUCUAAGUUGACUGCCGGUGACAAACCGGAGGAAGGUGGGGAUGACGUCAAAUCAUCAUGCCCCUUAUGAUUUGGGCUACACACGUGCUACAAUGGACAAUACAAAGGGCAGCGAAACCGCGAGGUCAAGCAAAUCCCAUAAAGUUGUUCUCAGUUCGGAUUGUAGUCUGCAACUCGACUACAUGAAGCUGGAAUCGCUAGUAAUCGUAGAUCAGCAUGCUACGGUGAAUACGUUCCCGGGUCUUGUACACACCGCCCGUCACACCACGAGAGUUUGUAACACCCGAAGCCGGUGGAGUAACCUUUUAGGAGCUAGCCGUCGAAGGUGGGACAAAUGAUUGGGGUGAAGUCGUAACAAGGUAGCCGUAUCGGAAGGUGCGGCUGGAUCACCUC
rnacentral:rRNA from 1 species